AACAGCAGAUUUGAACAAAUUGAAAUGAAUAAAAUGACUGAUACAGAAUUUUAAAGAAUUAUUAUUAUACGGUCAAAUAACUUGACAUUGAGAUGAUUUUUUUUUUCUUCUAUUAUCCUAGUCUGUCUCCAAAUCUUUUCCUGGGCUUGCAGUAAAUCCAGAGGCCUUAUACACAGUUAUCAGUCUGUGGUCAGGCAUUGCAUCAUUCCACCUGGCCUUUGGCAGAGUCACAAUGAGGGGGCCAGCUCCAGGCUCCUAUGACACAUCUGUGGCCAUCAAUGUAAAUUAAUGAUGUUCAGUGAUGACAGUGGAGGAGUGGAUUUCUUCAUCAGAGAGAAAAUUUCAUUAAAAUUGAUAUCAGA
rnacentral:lncRNA from 1 species